UCUCUCUCACACAUGUGUGCAUACACAAAUAGAAGUUUGCAUGUGCAUGGAUACUCUCUAUAAAUGAGAGUGGAUCGGGAAGAACUAAAGCUACAACAACCUAUACACUCUUUAAUAUGAAGGCAUUCUACAUAGUACUCUUUCUUUUGGCUUCCAUCAUCUUCGUUCCUUCAUCUAUAACAGCUCAGGAACUAUCCCAAACAGAAGAAAAAAGUACUCUAGGGCGUAAGCUUAUGCAGGUGGUUACUACACCUGCAUGCGGCAAAUCGCCAAAAUAUAAAAGCUGCUUGCCAAACACGCCGCCGAAAAAGAAGUGUAAGACAUAUAGUCGCAAUUGCCCUUGAAAAGAGAUGGUAAUUAUAUUAAGGGUGGUAAUUGUAAUGAAAUAAGAGUGAAUGCAUGGCAAAGAAGAAUAAUUUGGCUUUGUGUCACACAAGGCAAGCUUGCAGGAAUUUGCGAUCGAGAAGGAGGAGGAUGAUUAAUAAUCCAGUUAUUAUGUUUAAUUGUCGUUUUGGAAAGUACUCUAUAUGUAGAAUAUAGUAUAAUAUAUGAAUAUGUGUGUACGUUUUGAAAGUAUGUAA